rnacentral:rRNA from 1 species
GACGAACGCUGGCGGCGUGCUUAACACAUGCAAGUCGAACGCUGAACCCGCUUCGGUGGGGGAUGAGUGGCGAACGGGUGAGUAACACGUGGGCAACCUGCCCCCGGCUCUGGGAUAACUCCAAGAAAUUGGGGCUAAUACCGGAUGUGACCGCUGGCCGCAUGGUCUGGUGGUGGAAAGGGUUUCCGGCUGGGGAUGGGCCCGCGGCCUAUCAGCUUGUUGGUGGGGUAGUGGCCUACCAAGGCGACGACGGGUAGCCGGCCUGAGAGGGGGACCGGCCACACUGGGACUGAGACACGGCCCAGACUCCUACGGGAGGCAGCAGUGGGGAAUAUUGCGCAAUGGGCGGAAGCCUGACGCAGCGACGCCGCGUGGGGGAUGACGGCCUUCGGGUUGUAAACCUCUUUCAGCAGGGACGAAGCGCAAGUGACGGUACCUGCAGAAGAAGCACCGGCCAACUACGU